CUCUCCUCCCCUCCAGAUCCACCCACUACUCCUCCCAGAUCCACCCGUCACGAGAUCCACCCUAUUCCUCUGCUCAGGAUUCAUGGCGCGGCUGCUCUUGCCGACCCCCACCUCGCCGGUCAAGUCCGAGCGGGCUGCAGCGCCGGUGCCGGUGGGGUAGGCGAGCGGAGGAUCUCGGCAGCGGCGGCGGCAUCUGCAAGAGCGGCGGCAGCACCCGGGCCGCCGACUGGCUUGGGCCUGCGGCGACGGCCCCUGCGGUGGGCUGGUUAGGUGCCGGGCGAGCGUGAUGCUGCUUCCGGCCGUGCGGCAGUCCUCUCAAGGCGAGCAGGUGAGCAUUUGAGAGAGCGGCACGUCGUCAGGCAGCAUCUGCGAAAGGGGGCUCCAGCAUCUGGUGCUCUUCAGCGGAAGCAAGUUUGAACUAUGGGAUGUAACAAUUCUUUAAAAAAUUAUGGAAUGAAACAUCCCUGCAGCUGAUUGCAUUCAGUUAUUUUAUCGAGUAUCGUGGACUUAUUUCCAAGCUCAAGAGUGUCGACAUCUGAAUGGUCAGCAUUCUCCAGGGUCUUAGCUGCACACUCUGCACACCAUUUGUUCACAUUCUGUUCUUUUAUGUAUAUUUAUAUGUAUAUGGUGGUUGAAAAUACUUGUGUGACCAAGUGAUGUUUUAUGAAAUGGUUGUAACGGCACGUGUUGUAUAAAUAAAGCAAUUCUAGGAUAAUUAUAUGUAUUUAUUGUUUUGCGUGGUUUUUA